GGACUUGGGACGUUCUAGCCUCUACAAUCACCCAGGUGGUGAGCCAGCCACUCUGACCUGCCUCCUCAUCUGUAAAAUGGGCGCAGAGAACUAUCCACAUGGCCGUCUACUGAUGUUGUCACCCACUGCCUGGGGUCUUCCAGAAGGAACCGGAAAACCUACUAGACA